GGGGAAAUAGGUUAAUGGUAAACCGGGAGACUGUGACUCUCUUAUUGUGGGUUCGAUUCCUACUUUUCCCA
rnacentral:tRNA from 1 species